rnacentral:sRNA from 1 species
GCCGGGCAUGUUGGCCCAUGCUUGUAAUUCCAGUUGCUAGGGAGGCUGAAGCAGGAGGAUCACGAGUUUAAAGCCAGCAUCAACAACUGAGUAAGGCCCUAAACAACUCAGCGAGACCCUGUCUCUA